rnacentral:rRNA from 1 species
AUGAACUCUCUACUUCUCAGGCCGCUCCCGAGCGCGACCACGAGCGGGAGCCUAGUCGGUCGCGUCUCCCCAGCGGCGCAGAGGCGUCCCGGCGCGGUGGCCUGGCCGCGCGACGGGAGAUGCCGUCGCGGCGGCGUUGCGGCGGCGGGGGCGUGGAUGGAGGAGGCGGGGACGGCGGUGCUUGAGGAGGCUGUGCGGCGGAACCCGGCGUUGUCGGAGUCCUACCGGCCGGCGGGGCUGCCCCGGCCCAACGGCACGGUGCUGGAGGCGCAGGGGCGGGUGUGCACGGGGCCCGAGCAGACGCGGCCGCUCGGGGAGGAGCAGGCCAUGCGCGUCCUCGACACCAUCCUCCGCUCCGCGACGGGGGAACUCAAAGACGAGCCGGUGUCCAGUGCACAGCUGGGUGCAUUCUUUGCUGGCAUGACAAUAAGAGCUAAUUGUUUUCCGGAGGCCACCCAAUGGAGUGAGGGGGAGCGACGUGCCAUGAGCCUAUUCUGGCCACACCUUGUGCAUGUUCUUCCUCCGGAGGUGAAGUUUAUAGCAGACCCUGAAGGAACAAUCAUGGGAGCAAAUGGUUUAACAGGACCUCGUUAUAUUGGUCAAGGAACUGCAGAGAUGAGACUCGUUGGUGCUUUGAGGGAAGUGCUUGCUGGUGGCCAUUUAGGUUAUGAGGAAAUUCAGUGUGUACUAAAGGAUGUUCUACCAUUUGGAUCGAUGGGUGCAAGUUCACCAUCAGUUAGUGAAGCACUGCUAGCAGCAUUUUUAAUUGGACAGCGGAUGAAUAGGGAAACCGAUCGUGAGCUAAAAGGAUAUUGUCUAGCCUUUGAUGAUGAACUAGGCCCUCCCCCAAUUGCUGAUGUUAAUUCCUUGACACACUAUGGUGAGCCCUAUGAUGGGAAUACACGCUUCUUUAGGAGUACUCUGUUUGUUGCGGCUGUUAGAGCCUGCUAUGGUGAGGCUUGUCUCCUUCAUGGCGUUGAAUGGAUGCCACCUAAGGGUGGCAUAACAGAAGGGCAGAUGCUUAAAUUCAUGGGUGCAAACACACACUUGUCUCCUACACAGGCCAAAACACUAUUGGAGGAUAAGGAUACUGGUUUUGCAUAUCUGAAUCUCCAAGAAGCUUGCCCACCAUUAUAUUCGAUUAUCGGGCUCAGGGAGCAUAUUAAGAAAAGACCACCGUUGGCUACCUCUGAGAAAGUUCAACAAUUUGUGAGAGCACGGGGAAGGGAGUCAAUGGUUGCUGGAUUUUAUCAUGUGGGCUAUGAAGAUCCAUUGCUUAUGCUUAUGAGAAGGAGAACUGUUCAUGCUGGAUUAGUUGUGAAGGGUGAGGAAGGUGCACUUUCUUUGACAACCAAAGAAAGAUCGGCCCAUGCUUCCAAAGGGAUUCCAGUGAACCACUGCUCAGGGUUCCGGACACCAAGCAGCGCAAACUUCUCCGAAACUGACGGUAUUUCUAGAGAGAGCUUCAGAGUUGCUGUGAAUGCUCAGGAACUUGGUUUCAAAUCCACUGAAACUCCAAGAACUGAUAAAUCAGUACUGAAAAACUUGGAGCUGGGUUUGUCAGCGCUGGGUGGAGACAAAGGGCCUGCUUAUGACCGAAUAGUUCUUAACGCAGCUAUGGCCGACCACUUGUUAGGCUGUAGCGGAGCUCAGGAUAUCAACUCCGCGCUUGACAGGGCAAGAGAAGCCAUCGACAGCGGUAAUGCUUUGAGAAGGCUCAUGAACUACAUAAAAAUCUCGCACAAGGUGUCCUAG